rnacentral:rRNA from 1 species
AGCGAACGCUGGCGGCAGGCCUAACACAUGCAAGUCGAACGAACUCUUCGGUGUUAGUGGCGGACGGGGGAGAAACACGUGGGAACGUGCCUUUAGGUUCGGAAUAACUCAGGGAAACUUGUGCUAAUACCGAAUGUGCCCUUCGGGGGAAAGAUUUAUCGCCUUUAGAGCGGCCCGCGUCUGAUUAGCUAGUGGGUGAGGUAACGGCUCACCAAGGCGACGAUCAGUAGCUGGUCUGAGAGGAUGACCAGCCACACUGGGACUGAGACACGGCCCAGACUCCUACGGGAAGCAGCAGCUGGGAAUCUUGCGCAAUGGGCGAAAGCCUGACGCAGCCAUGCCGCGUGAAUGAUGAAGGUCUUAGGAUUGUAAAAUUCUUUCACCGGGGACGAUAAUGACGGUACCCGGAGAAGAAGCCCCGGCUAACUUCGUG